ensembl:lncRNA
CUUCAAUAUCUCUAUGUCAGUGUAUGUAAUCUUUUUUUAAAUUUUGUUUUUAUUUUUUAGAUAUUAAAAUCAGUAUUGCAGUGAACUACUUUUAUGCAUAUAUUUUGGGUAACUUCUUUAAGUAUAUCCAUAAAUUCUUAGUGAAAUUUAAAGAAAAAAAACAUACACACACAUAUAUGUGUGUGUGUGUGUGUGUGUGUGUGUAUAUAUAAAAUCUACUUCAAGGAACUGGCUCACACAGUUGUAGAGGUUGGUAAAUCUGAAAUUUGUAUGGCAUUGUCUGGUAAGCUGUAAACUCUUAAGACAGGAAUUGAUGCUGUAGCCUUAAGGCAGAGUAUCUUCAGGAAAACCUAAGUUUUGCUUUAACAGCCCGUCACCUGAUCGAAUGAGGCUGACUUAUGGGGAUUAAUCUUUUACUUGAAGUUAUCUGGUUAAUAAGUCUGCGAAAUACCUACAGAGCUGCAUCUAAAUUAAUGUUUGAUUGAAUGACUGGGCAUUAUAGCCAAUCCAAGUUGACAUAAAACUGUCAUGGUAUUUCUCACUUUAUGUAAUUUUUUAUUCCUCAAAAAGUAUUGUAAAGUAUCUUUUUCUGUAUAUCUUCUCCAAUCUCUGAUAUUAAAUUAAAAAAUUUUUUGCCAGUUAGAUCCAUGAAAAUGGUAUUUUGUUUUCUUUUUACAUUGCUUUUAAUUCUGUCAUUUUGGAAGAUGGUGGAAUCACAAUAGUUUCUUCUACAAAACAGUGAACUGACACAAAUUAAUUCCAUCUUUCUAAAUUUCUGGUCUUGUGUAGUAGUCAUUAUCUUAAAGAAUAAUUGAAACUUGUCUUUUUCAUUAUCUUGGCCUGUGGAAGCUUAUUCAUUUGAAUUUAGUAUUAAUUGGUCAUUUUAAACCAUAAAUAAAUAUCAGAACUCUGCUUGAUUUCUUAAUCGUCUUAGGGACUAAAGAAAUUUCGUGGUAGCUAAGAUAAAGAGUUUGUCAUUGCAAGAUAGUGUCACGCACUGAAAGGAGGCAUUGGAUUAUGUUUUGGGGGUCUCAAGAAGGUCUUCAGGUUCAUUGAUAGUCACUUUAACUUCUAAGGUGUCAUUAAACUGUAAUUUCUUUUCACCAACAGGUUUUCUGUGUUACUUCAAAUGGCAACCUGUACAGGUUUGGGCAGUACAGCAGCAUAGAGUCUAGGGGCUAAUCUGUAACAUAGAUGUUGUCAUAAUUAUUAACUUUUAUGAUCUCAUUAUGAAUCAUUUUGCUGUCUUGUGUUGAAAUUUAAAUAUGUGGUUAUCUGCAUACUUGAUAAGAGCUUAGUUUGUGUCAGAAACUGUUGUGUGUGCUUUUGUAUAUGUUAAGUCAUUAAUUCUCAUGAGUGAAAGUUGUUCAGUCGUGUCCAACUCUUUGCGAUCCCAUGGACUAUACAGUCCAUGGAAUUUUCCAGUAUUCUUGGACUUUCCUUGUGGCUUAGCUGGUAAAGAAUCCACCUGCAACCUAGGAUACCUGGGUUCAAUCCCUGGGUUGGGAAGAUCCCCUGGAGAAGGGAAAGGCUACUCACUCCAGUAUUCUGGCCUGGAGAAUUCCAUGGACUAUAUGGUCCAUGGGGUCGCAAAGAGUUGGACAUGACUGAGUGACUUUCACUUUCAGGGAAGCAAGGCUUUCCUGUGGAUUGGGUGCUGUCAGAAAGAAAGUGGGGCAAGUCUGUAACUGUGGGUAACUUACCUUACCUAGAGGACUGGAGGAAUGAAGCAGGGUCAGAACUGUGACUAGAAAAGGAACAGCAUUUCCUCAUAUUAGCCAGAGCAGGGGGAUGUUUGGUGAUUUCUGUGGUUUGGAAAAAAUUCAUAGUUUUAUAUGUGUUCACACAUGAUUACAGAGUGGCUUUGUUUUUGUCUUGAUGCAUUAUGGUCACAGAGUGGUCUCAUCUGAUACCGAUGUUCUGUGAAAUUACUUAUGUUCAACUGAAUCUCAAGGCCUUGCUGUAUGUACUGGGUCUGUUCCUAGCUAUUGGGCUCCUUUUGUUUUUCUCACUAAUUUAACUUUUUCACAUUUAAACUGGAUUGAUUGUGGAAGAAAAAAAAAAAAGAAAACACGCAUAAUCCAAAAGAAAAAAGUUUAAAACAGGGAAACAAGAGACAGGAUUUAAACUACCUAAUAUUUGUGUUGGAUAUUUUUGUAGACAUUUCUAUCCUUAUUUAUACAUAAAUAUAAAUUAAGUGAUACUUUACAUAAAAUACUCUUAAGAAGUGAAGUAAAAGUCGCUUAGUUGUGUCUGUACAGUUCAUGGAAUUCUCCAGGCCAGAAUAUUGGAGUGGGUAGCCGUUCCUUUCUCCAGGGAAUCUUCCCAACCCAAGGAUUGAACCCAGGGCUCCCACAUUGCAGGUGGAUUCUUUACCAGCUGAGCCAUCAGGGAAGCAAAAUACUCUUAUAAAUGAAGUAAUAUUUUUUUGCCCCAGGAAUUUAUUGUGACUAUCAUUUUAUUGUAAAUUUGUAGCUAUUUUGUAUAGUAGAGUAUGUUAGGGUUAGUGUCAUUGGAGUUGUGACUCAAUGUCAUCCUUCUAAAUGUGUGUAUAUUGUUCAAUAAUCUUAUCCGUAAUGUUAUCCACUUCUAGCCCUUUUAAGUGCGUACAUCUUAAAUGUGUAUUUCUGUGUGUACACAUAAAUAUACAAUAUAGCAUGCACAAUUAAAG